AUUGAACGCUGGCGGAAUGCUUUACACAUGCAAGUCGAACGGCAGCACGGACUUCGGUCUGGUGGCGAGUGGCGAACGGGUGAGUAACAUAUCGGAACGUAUCCAAUAAUGGGGGAUAACGAGUCGAAAGAUUCGCUACUACCGCAUACGGCCUACGGGGGAAAGCUGGGGACCUUCGGGCCUGGCGUUAAUGGAGCGGCCGAUAUCUGAUUAGCUAGUUGGUGAGGUAAAGGCUCACCUAGGCGACGAUCAGUAGCUGGUCUGAGCGGACGACCAGCCACACUGGAACUGAGACACGGUCCAGACUCCUACGGGAGGCAGCAGUGGGGAAUUUUGGACAAUGGGCGCAAGCCUGAUCCAGCCAUUCCGCGUGAGUGAAGAAGGCCUUCGGGUUGUAAAGCUCUUUCGCAAGGGAAGAAAACUUAGCCACUAACAUUGGUUGAGGUUGACGGUACCUUGAUAAGAAGCACCGGCUAACUACGUGCCAGCCGCCGCAGUAA
rnacentral:rRNA from 1 species